UGGGGAAUUUUGGACAAUGGGGGCAACCCUGAUCCAGCCAUGCCGCGUGAGUGAAGAAGGCCUUCGGGUUGUAAAGCUCUUUCAGACGGAAAGAAACGGUUACGGCUAAUACCCGUGACUAAUGACGGUACCGUCAGAAGAAGCACCGGCUAACUACGUGCCAGCAGCCGCGGUAAUACGUAGGGUGCGAGCGUUAAUCGGAAUUACUGGGCGUAAAGCGUGCGCAGGCGGUUUGGUAAGUCAGAGGUGAAAGGCUACAGCUUAACUGGAGCACUGCCUUUGAAACUGCCUUUCUAGAGUGCAUGAGGGGGAAGCGGAAUUCCGAGUGUAGAGGUGAAAUUCGUAGAUAUUCGGAGGAACACCGGUGGCGAAGGCGGCUUCCUGGCAUGUAACUGACGCUCAUGUGCGAAAGCGUGGGUAGCAAACAGGAUUAGAUACCCUGGUAGUCCACGCCCUAAACGAUGGGCACUAGGUGUCCGGGGUAUUGACCCCCUGGGUGCCGCAGCUAACGCAUUAAGUGCCCCGCCUGGGGAGUACGGUCGCAAGAUCA
rnacentral:rRNA from 1 species